rnacentral:rRNA from 1 species
UGUAGUCAUAUGCUUGUCUCAAAGACUAAGCCAUGCAUGUCUAAGUAUGAAUGUUAUACAGUGAAACUGCGAAUGGCUCAUUAAAACAGUUAUUGUUUAUUUGAUAAUCAAAUUUACAUGGAUAACCGUGGUAAUUCUAGAGCUAAUACAUGCUGAUAUGCCUGACUCUUAGGAAGGGCUGUAUUUAUUAGAUAACAAACCAAUAUUCCUCGUGUCUAUUGUGAUGACUCAUAAUAACUGAUCGAAUCGCAUGGACUUUGUCCGCGAUACAUCAUUCAAGUUUCUGCCCCAUCAGCUUUCGAUGGUAGUGUAUUGGACUACCAUGGCUUUAACGGGUAACGGAGGAUUAGGGUUCGAUUCCGGAGAGGGAGCCUGAGAAACGGCUACCACAUCUAAGGAAGGCAGUAGGCGCGUAAAUUACCCAAUCCUAAUUCAGGGAGGUAGUGACAAGAAAUAACGGACUGAGGCCUACGCUUCAGGAUUGCAAUGAGUAGAAUUUAAACCCCUUUGCGAGGAUCAAUUGGAGGGCAAGUCUGGUAAUCG